GAUGAAGAACGUAGCGAAAUGCGAUAAGUAGUGUGAAUUGCAGAAUUCAGUGAAUCAUCGAAUCUUUGAACGCACAUUGCGCCCUUUGGUAUUCCAAAGGGCAUGCCUGUUCGAGCGUCAUUUGUACCCUCAAGCUUUGCUUGGUGUUGGGCGUCUUGUCUCUAGCUUUGCUGGAGACUCGCCUUAAAGUAAUUGGCAGCCGGCCUACUGGUUUCGGAGCGCAGCACAAGUCGCACUCUCUAUCAGCAAAGGUCUAGCAUCCACUAAGCCUUUUUUUCAACUUUUGACCUCGGAUCAGGUAGGGAUACCCGCUGAACUUAAGCAUACAAUAAGCAGAGGA
rnacentral:misc_RNA from 1 species